GAUGAACGCUGGCGGCGUGCCUAAUACAUGCAAGUCGAGCGAACGGACGAGAAGCUUGCUUCUCUGAUGUUAGCGGCGGACGGGUGAGUAACACGUGGAUAACCUACCUAUAAGACUGGGAUAACUUCGGGAAACCGGAGCUAAUACCGGAUAAUAUUUUGAACCGCAUGGUUCAAAAGUGAAAGACGGUCUUGCUGUCACUUAUAGAUGGAUCCGCGCUGCAUUAGCUAGUUGGUAAGGUAACGGCUUACCAAGGCAACGAUGCAUAGCCGACCUGAGAGGGGGAGCGGCCACGCUGGGAGUGGGACACGGGCCAGACUGCGACGGGGGCAAGGAGUAGGGAAUCUUGCGAAGGGGGCGAGGGCCUGACGGAACAACGCGGCGUAGGUGAAUAAGGUCUCGGGACGGGAAAACUCUGGUAUUUGGGAAGGAAAUAUGUGAAAGUAAGUGUGCACAUUGUGGGUAUCCGAAUAAAGAAAGCCGGGGAAAACUGCG
rnacentral:rRNA from 1 species